UUAUCCUUUCAGUACUUCACUUUUUUAUUUCAUCAUGUUAUUAUGAUUUUUUUUUUUUUUGAGAAUCUCUUAUGAACACAAAAACAAACAUCGAAUUUUUAUACAUUACUCAUUCCGUUCUUUUUUAAAUGUCAUAUUUAUUUUAUUUUUUACACAUACCAAGAAAACUAAUCAAUACUAUUACUUUUCAAACAAUAAUUCUCUUUUUA
rnacentral:lncRNA from 1 species